rnacentral:rRNA from 1 species
UGUAGGCGGAGAUACAAGUCAGGAGUGAAAUCCCGGGGCUCAACCCCGGAACUGCUUUUGAAACUGUAUCCCUUGAGUAUCGGAGAGGCAAGCGGAAUUCCUAGUGUAGCGGUGAAAUGCGUAGAUAUUAGGAGGAACACCAGUGGCGAAAGCGGCUUGCUGGACGACAACUGACGCUGAGGCGCGAAAGCGUGGGGAGCAAACAGGAUUAGAUACCCUGGUAGUCCACGCUGUAAACGAUGAAUACUAGGUGUGGGAGGACUGACCCCUUCCGUGCCGCAGUUAACACAAUAAGUAUUCCACCUGGGGAGUACGACCGCAAGGUUGAAACUCAAAGGAAUUGACGGGGGCCCGCACAAGCAGUGGAUUAUGUGGUUUAAUUCGACGCAACGCGAAGAACCUUACCAGGGUUUGACAUCCAACUAACGAAGUAGAGAUACAUUAGGUGCCCUUCGGGGAAAGUUGAGACAGGUGGUGCAUGGUUGUCGUCAGCUCGUGUCGUGAGAUGUUGGGUUAAGUCCCGCAACGAGCGCAACCCCUAUUGUUAGUUGCUACGCAAGAGCACUCUAGCGAGACUGCCGUUGACAAAACGGAGGAAGGCGGGGACGACGUCAAAUCAUCAUGCCCCUUAUAUCCUGGGCUACACACGUAAUACAAUGGUGGUUAACAGAGGGAGGCAAUACUGCGAAGUGGAGCAAAUCCCUAAAAGCCAUCUCAGUUCGGAUUGCAGGCUGCAACUCGCCUGCAUGAAGCUGGAAUUGCUAGUAAUCGCGGAUCAGCAUGCCGCGGUG